UACCAGCUCUCCGAGUUGUAGGGAUGAUUAUUGGGCUUAAGGCGUCCGUAGCUGGCUUAGCAAGUCUCCUGUUAAAUUCAGCGACCUAAUCGUUGAGCCGCGGGAGAUACUAUUAGGCUAGGAGGCGGGAGAGGUCGACGGUACUUUCGGGGUAGGGGUGAAAUCCUAUAAUCCCGGGAGGACCACCAGUGGCGAAGGCUGUCGACUAGAACGCGCUCGACGGUGAGGGACGAAAGCUGGGGGAGCGAACCGGAUUAGGUACCCGGGUAGUCCCAGCUGUAAACUAUGCGGGCUAGGUGUUGGGGUGGCUACGGGCCACUUCAGUGCCGCAGGAAAGCCAUUAAGCCCGCCGCCUGGGGAGUACGGCCGCAAGGCUGAAACUUAAAGGAAUUGGCGGGGGAGCACCACAAGGCGUGAAGCUUGCGGUUC
rnacentral:rRNA from 1 species